GAUGAACGCUGGCGGUCUGCUUAACACAUGCAAGUCGAACGCACCCUUUCGGGGGUGAGUGGCGGACGGGUGAGUAACGCGUGAGAAUCUAGCUUUUAGAUGGGGACAACCACUGGAAACGGUGGCUAAUACCCAAUGUGCCAUUAGGUGAAAGAUUAAUUGCCAGAAGAAGAGCUCGCGUCUGAUUAGCUAGUUGGUGAGGUAAAGGCUCACCAAGGCAGCGAUCAGUAGCUGGUCUGAGAGGAUGAUCAGCCACACUGGGACUGAGACACGGCCCAGACUCCUACGGGAGGCAGCAGUGAGGAAUUUUCCGCAAUGGGCGAAAGCCUGACGGAGCAAUACCGCGUGAGGGAGGAAGGCUCUUGGGUCGUAAACCUCUUUUCUCAGGGAAGAAGAAAGUGACGGUACCUGAGGAAUCAGCCUCGGCUAACUCCGUGCCAGCAGCCGCGGUAAUACGGAGGAGGCAAGCGUUAUCCGGAAUUAUUGGGCGUAAAGCGUCCGUAGGUGGCUCUUCAAGUCUGCUGUCAAAGAGUGGGGCUUAACUCCAGAAAGGCAGUGGAAACUGAAAGGCUAGAGAGCCGUAGGGGUAGAGGGAAUUCCCGGUGUAGCGGUGAAAUGCGUAGAGAUCGGGAAGAACAUCGGUGGCGAAAGCGCUCUACUGGACGGUAUCUGACACUGAGGGACGAAAGCUAGGGGAGCGAAUGGGAUUAGAUACCCCUGUAGUCCUAGCCGUAAACGAUGGAUACUAGGCGUGGCUUGUAUCGACCCGAGCCGUGCCGGAGCUAACGCGUUAAGUAUCCCGC
rnacentral:rRNA from 1 species